GUGCGUAAGAGCGAGGCAGAUGCGCAGGUGCGCGGACCAGGUCCCGGUUCUGGCGGAUUUGGCCCAGGCACCCCCAGCCCCCAGAUCUGGCCGGGUGCGGCGGCUCAUGCCUGUAAUCCCAGCACUUUGGGAGGCCGAAGCAGGUGGAUCACAUGAAGUCAGAAGUUGGAGACUAGCCUGGCCAACAUGGUAAAACCCCGUCUCUACUAAAUGUAUAAAAACUAGUGGGAUGUGGUGGCGGCUAACUGUAAUCCCAGCUUCUUGGGAGGCCGAGGCACAAGAAUUGCUUGAACCCGAGAGGCAGAAGUUGCAGCAAGCUGAGAUCUCACCACUGCACUCUAGCCUGGGCAACAUAGCAAGACUCUGUCUCAAAAACAAACAAACAAAAUGCAGAUUGAAUCCAGGCUCACCUGGUGACAGCUGUCCAUAUCCCCACCCUUUCAGGACAGCAUGGCUGCCCUUUUGUGGGUGGUUCCAGCUACCCAGACCCUGUCCUUCUCAACACCCCCUCAUUAAGGUAGGACCCUAAAGUGAAUUCCUCCUUGUCCUUCAAAGCCAGCCUCCAGCAUCGCCUCCUCUGGGAUCUUCUCUGACUUCCCAGUCGGUUUCAGAAGCCUCUGAUGACCCCAUGCGGAGAAGACUGCUCCCCUCACUGCUGGCACACGGCAGAUGCUCAGUAAGUAUCGUUCAAUGACUGACUAAAUGUCUCAUAAUAUCCUUCAUAAACAAGGGCCUGGUGUGGAUUCAUAAAUGGGUCUCUCAAAGUUUAAUUGGUGAGACUCUGUUGUAUCAGACAAUGAAGGGUUAAAAGAUAAUAUUCAAAAAAGUAAAAUCAUGACACACAAAUCUAGAAUGAACACACAUUGAUAAGGUUUGGAUCUGUGUCCUCACCCAAACCUCAUGUCGAACUGGGAUCCCCCGUGUCAGAGGCGGCCGCGUGGGAGGUGACCGGAUCGCGGGUGGACCCUUCAUGAAGGGUUCAGCACCAUCCCCUUGGUGCUGUCCUGGGACAGAGUUCUCUUGCGAUCUGGUUGUUUAAACGUGUGUGGCCCCUUCCCCCUCUCUUUUCCUCCUCCUCCUGCCGUGGGAGACACUUGCUCCAGCUUCGCCUUCCGCCGCGAGUUGAAGCUCCCCGAGGCCUCCUCAGAAGCAGAAGCCACCACGCUUCCUGUACAGCCUGUGGGACCCGGAGCCAGUUCAACCUCUUUUCUUUAUAAAUUACCCAGACUCGGCCGGGCACGGUGGCUCACGCCUGUAAUCCCAGCACUUUGUUGAGACCGAGGCAGGCAGAUCACGAGGUCAGGAGAUCGAGAACAUCCUGGCUAACACGGUGAAACCCCGUCUCUACUAAAAAUACAAAAAAUUAGCCGGGCGUGGUGGCGGGCGCCUGUGGUCCCAGCUACUCGGGAGGCUGAGGCAGGAGAAUGGUGUGAACCCGGG
rnacentral:lncRNA from 10 species